UAAAAUAAAAAAACCUCAUUUCUCUCUCCUUACCCACUCAUUCUCUCUCACCUUUUCAGUUUUCUCUCUCCCCCUUCUAACUCUGGAAGGGGGAUUCAUCAUAUGCAAAUGGAAAGGUAAUAGAUGUAGAUCUAAAGACUGUAAGUAUACAAAGGGGAUCUUAUUUUAUUCCAUUUGCACUGGUGGCUAAUACGUUACCAUAUUCUCGUCCAGUAUAGUUUGAAAAUUUGACGUUGCCAGUGGAAUUUUGUUGCUGGAUUAUCUAAGUCCCAGAAUCACGACACGUAUGCUUCACCCUCCGUCGACGGUGUUAUCCAUCAGCAACGACGAUGGCGCCAACUUCUUUCCAUCUACUUCCCCACUCGCUGCCUCCAACGUCACUUGACUUUCUAUGGUUUUGUGCAGAAAAUGAGUGCGCAUAUGAGUUUGUGAGUGCUGUGAAGGGGAAGCCAUGGGGCUCGGGUAGAGUUUUGAUGAGGAGAGAGAAAUGAGUUUUAUGUUUUCAAUUUUAAAAUAAAAACAAAUAGUAAAUUAUUGUUAUAUCCCUGAAAAAAGUAAUCAAUAAACAAAAAAUUAAGAAUUUGUA